rnacentral:rRNA from 1 species
UUGGAGGGCAAGUCUGGUGCCAGCAGCCGCGGUAAUUCCAGCUCCAAUAGCGUAUAUUAAACUUGUCGCAGUUAAAAAGCUCGUAGUUGAACUUCAGACCUGGCCGGGCGGUCCGCCGCAAGGUGUGUACUGUCUGGCUGGGCCUUACCUCUUGGUGAGCCGGCAUGUCCUUUACUGGGUGUGUCGGGGAACCAGGACUUUUACCUUGAGAAAAUUAGAGUGUUCAAAGCAGGCCUAUGCCUGAAUACGUUAGCAUGGAAUAAUGAAAUAGGACGUGCGGUUCUAUUUUGUUGGUUUCUAGGAUUGACGUAAUGAUUAAUAGGGAUAGUUGGGGGCAUUAGUAUUCAAUUGUCAGAGGUGAAAUUCUUGGAUUUAUUGAAGACUAACUACUGCGAAAGCAUUUGCCAAGGAUGUUUUCAUUAAUCAAGAACGAAAGUUAGGGGAUCGAAGACGAUCAGAUACCGUCGUAGUCUUAACCAUAAACUAUGCCGACUAGGGAUCGGAUGAUGUUAAUUUUUUAAUGACUCAUUCGGCGCCUUACGGGAAACCAAAGUGUUUGGGUUC